GGAGCUUCAGCAGGACGUCGACGAGGCCCUCCAGCAUCACGCCAAUCGUGCCCCUCUUCUGCUCCUGCGGGAUCCUCAUCAUUUGGUGGAGGAGUACGUCAGAGGUGGAGUUUGGGUGAAUGUGGAGUCGGGGUCGUGGAGGGAGGCGCUGGUGGAGAGGCUGGCAGUCACUCCACGCACGCCGCUCUAUUUACGACUGCAACAUGCUGCGACUUUGGAGGUGGUGGCCUGUACACAGAAACUGCUACAGGACGGCGACGGAAGCCUGCGGCUUCUCGUGGUGCUGGACGACACGUGUUCAGAGGCGCCGUGUCCGCUCUGCACCGAUCUUCCCGCCAUCGACCUUGCUCUCGAC